rnacentral:lncRNA from 10 species
GGAAGAUGAAAAAGCAGGUGAGAAUCCAAAUCUGGCAGAAGCCAGAGAUCAAAACCUAACCAUUUUACGGAAGGGAAAAGAAGUGUUCUGUGACAAGUGAGAUGAUUGAUUUUGCAGAGUCCUACAGCUGGUUCAAGGCAGCAUCAGGCUCAGAACCCCUUUCUCUCAGCUCUCUGUUGUGAUUAUUUCAGGACCUUGUUCUGUUUUCCACAUGGCCUCUAAUCUAGACACCUGACCUGGUGGGAGUAACCUUUCAAACUUUUCACAUAAACCAAGAACAUACCCAAAUCAUAAGAAGAAAGAUUGCUAGAUGCUAAAAUGCCAGCUCCCUGCCAUGAACAAAACCCUGUCCCUGGGGAUAAACUUCAAAGUAAAGCCAGAUGACC